AGACGGUAGAUUUUUUGUGCCCUCUUUCUCGGAUUAAAUCCUCUUUCAACUGUUUUUGGUCGAUUAUUUAUUCCAACGCAAACAUCGACAUCGGCGCCAGCGCGACGUCCGGAUAAACCACGCGCGGAGGCCUUCGCCUCCGGAACGAAGAAAUCAUGCGAAUUUAGUGCCCCGUUUGUUCCAGCUUUCUACAAUACGCACACUGCCAUCUUUCAUUCGCUCGAGCUGCCUGCACGCAGCCCCGCGUUCGGCCCACUCGGUUCCACUGUGUGCCGCUGCAUAAGGUGCCCUUGUGCGCGCUCCGAAUGCUCGAUUUGCAUGGCAUUCGUCUCUUCAUUUUUGCCGAGUGUAUCGUGCGCUCGUCGCGUUGAGCUCGCGAGCCAGGUGCAUCGGUGCUUAAGUGGAAUUAACGUGAAUGAUGGGGCCCAGAUAAAGCUACAUCCGCCUGUACCGGCUCACGAGCGUAUUUUACGAGUGAAUACACAUGAAUUUGUUCAGCGAAUCAGCGAAUCAAUCAUGCCGCUUCGAUUACGUUCGAUAUACGUACAAAGCAUAGGCUUGUAACAGCGGAUUUUUCUAAUCUCUGUAUUCUAUAUUCUAAUCUCUGUAUAAUCAGUAUUUUAUAGCCCAUAUUUAUAUGUAUAAUAAUUCUGUUAAGAAACUCGACUAAAACCAGUUUUGAGAGAGAAAGAAAGAUAGAGAAAAGAGAGACUACAGUUCAGUAGAUCUUGACAAUCAAUCUCACAUUCAUGACGUACAUACGUCAGAUUUAUGAUUUAAAUAAAAAAACCUGCAUGUUCCUAUAUUCACAUCAAUUUUGAUCUAAAUAUAUUAUAGUAUAAUUAUUUCUCUAAUAGCUGUCAAAUUCUUUAUGAAUCAUAAAGAUUUAUAAUAAAUAUCUUUGAUUGUUUCAUAUUCUUGAUAAAUAGAAUAGCAAAAUAUAUACCUUAAGCUUUAUUAAGAAAGACGAAGAAUAAAUAUUGACGAAGUUUUCUACCUUUUGUGGAAAAUUAUAACCUCGAUUUGUCUUUUUUUUUAUUAAUUCUUUUUUAAGAAUAUAACUCUUGAUCGUAUUAUUGCACUUGUAGUUGCAAGUUGUAUAAUGAUCAUUUAUAAAGACUGAGUACGAGCUAGUCGGCUUGGCUCCGUUCCCAACGUGUCAUUCCGAAGGUGGUGUGAAUGGGAGAAUGGGAGAAGGAACGAAAGUGCUGCCGCACAGGUUCGCAGCUACGUGUACGAAUACACUUUAAUCUCCACACUUACAACGUUUCCGGAUCGUUAAACGCCGUUCGUCGACGAACUCUUGAGUUCGGGCGAAAAAUUCGCAUCCAAGCUCGAAUCCCGCCGCCGCUCGCCAACGGCUUUAGCCGUGGCGGAAAACGCGUCAUUUUCUCGUCGAAAAGUUUUCGACGAUGCAGAGGAAAAAAAGUUUGGAAGACCGGAAGGUAAAAAUUCUGCAUACACGCGUACAAGGAUUCUUCUUGUAAGAUGACAGGAGAGAUAUAAGGUUUUCGAAAGAUACUUAAUUCGCUAAAAUUUGUUUAAGAACAUUCACGAGAAUGAAAGAAAAAAACUUUCAUUUGUGUAUGUAUCGAUUUGUAAAAUGUGACGAAAAUUGUGUUUUUUUGCCUAAUAAAUAUAACUUCAACAAAUA